AUUGAACGCUGGCGGCAUGCCUUACACAUGCAAGUCGAACGGUAACAGGUCUUCGGAUGCUGACGAGUGGCGAACGGGUGAGUAAUACAUCGGAACGUGCCCGAUCGUGGGGGAUAACGGAGCGAAAGCUUUGCUAAUACCGCAUGCGAUCUACGGAUGAAAGCAGGGGACCGCAAGGCCUUGCGCGGACGGAGCGGCCGAUGGCAGAUUAGGUAGUUGGUGGGAUAAAAGCUUACCAAGCCGACGAUCUGUAGCUGGUCUGAGAGGACGACCAGCCACACUGGGACUGAGACACGGCCCAGACUCCUACGGGAGGCAGCAGUGGGGAAUUUUGGACAAUGGGCGAAAGCCUGAUCCAGCCAUGCCGCGUGCAGGAUGAAGGCCUUCGGGUUGUAAACUGCUUUUGUACGGAACGAAAAGACUCCUUCUACUAAAGGGGGUCCAUGACGGUACCGUAAGAAUAAGCACCGGCUAACUACGUGCCAGCCGCCGCAGUAAGAC
rnacentral:rRNA from 1 species